GAUCGCACGGUCUAGCACCGGCGACGCANACUUUCAAUAGUCUGCCUUAUCAACUGUCGAUGGUAGGUUCUGCGCCUACCAUGGUCGUAACGGGUAACGGGGAAGUCAGGGUUCGGAUUCCGGAGAGGGAGGCCUGAGAAACGGCUACCACAUCCAAGGAAGGCAGCAGGCGCGCAAAUUACCCACUCCCGGCACGGGGAGGUAGUGACGAAAAAUAACGGUACGGGACUCAUCCGAGGCCCCGUAAUCGGAAUGAGUACACUUUAAAUCCUUUAACGAGUAUCAAUUGGAGGGCAAGUCUGGUGCCAGCAGCCGCGGUAAUUCCAGCUCCAAUAGCGUAUAUUAAAGUUGUUGCGGUUAAGACUAAGUCUCUGCUACCGUA
rnacentral:rRNA from 1 species